AUUGAACGCUGGCGGCAUGCCUUACACAUGCAAGUCGAACGGCAGCACGGGUGCUUGCACCUGGUGGCGAGUGGCGAACGGGUGAGUAAUACAUCGGAACAUGUCCUGUAGUGGGGGAUAGCCCGGCGAAAGCCGGAUUAAUACCGCAUACGAUCUACGGAUGAAAGCGGGGGACCUUCGGGCCUCGCGCUAUAGGGUUGGCCGAUGGCUGAUUAGCUAGUUGGUGGGGUAAAGGCCUACCAAGGCGACGAUCAGUAGCUGGUCUGAGAGGACGACCAGCCACACUGGGACUGAGACACGGCCCAGACUCCUACGGGAGGCAGCAGUGGGGAAUUUUGGACAAUGGGCGAAAGCCUGAUCCAGCAAUGACGCGUGUGUGAAGAAGGCCUUCGGGUUGUAAAGCACUUUUGUCCGGAAAGAAAUCCUUGGCCCUAAUACGGUCGGGGGAUGACGGUACCGGAAGAAUAAGCACCGGCUAACUACGU
rnacentral:rRNA from 1 species